AAUAGAUACCCAGGUAGUCCACGCCGUAAACGAUGAGUGCUAAGUGUUAGAGGGUUUCCGCCCUUUAGUGCUGCAGCAAACGCAUUAAGCACUCCGCCUGGGGAGUACGGCCGCAAGGCUGAAACUCAAAGGAAUUGACGGGGGCCCGCACAAGCGGUGGAGCAUGUGGUUUAAUUCGAAGCAACGCGAAGAACCUUACCAGGUCUUGACAUCCUUAUGACUUCCCUAGAGAUAGGGCUUCCCCUUCGGGGGCAUAAGUGACAGGUGGUGCAUGGUUGUCGUCAGCUCGUGUCGUGAGAUGUUGGGUUAAGUCCCGCAACGAGCGCAACCCUUGAUCUUAGUUGCCAGCAUUCAGUUGGGCACUCUAAGGUGACUGCCGGUGACAAACCGGAGGAAGGUGGGGAUGACGUCAAAUCAUCAUGCCCCUUAUGACCUGGGCUACACACGUGCUACAAUGGAUGGUACAAAGGGCAGCGAAGCCGCGAGGUGAAGCGAAUCCCAUAAAACCAUUCUCAGUUCGGAUUGUAGG
rnacentral:rRNA from 1 species